rnacentral:sRNA from 1 species
AGCUCGACGGGAUCGACGGCGCGGGUGACCACCAGAUAGUCCCGCAAGGCCGUGCUGUGCCGGGCCUC